rnacentral:lncRNA from 1 species
CACUUUGGACUUUGGAUUCCUGUCCUGUAAAGAGUACGUGCGUCUCACCAAGGCACUCUGUUAAGAUACAGAAUCUAGUCCCUCCCUAGAGAUUACCAUUCAGUGGGUUUGGGGUGAGGUUUUGGAAUCUGUAUUUAUAAUUGUCAUGCCUGUGAUUUUGGUGUGAAAGCCUGUCUACACUAGGGCCCUGAAGGGGUUUAUUUAGACCAGUGAGGAUCACAGAGAGGGCUCUGAACACAUGAAAGAGAUGAGGAAGUCAGCCCUACACCUCAGGUGAUGUCAAGUGCCCGCCUCCCUGAGAAGCAGCCAUUCUACCCCAGACUCCCAUCAUCCACAUCUUCUUCUUACCUGGGCUUUACUAUUUUUAUUCCUCUCUAUUUGGUAAUUAUUUACUAACAGCUCUCUUGGGGAGAUGGGAGGUAUCCCUUUGUGUAUCUACAAUUCACUACCUAUUAUGAGGCAUUACCAAAAAAAAAAAAAAAGUCCAUAAAUUGUAUCACACUUUUAAGUGUGUAUGCUGGAAAUACCACCAUGGUGAUAAAAUCCAUUUGCAAUCAGCAUAAAAGCUGUUUUGCAGUGAUGGGUUCUAGAAAAGAAGUUGGCCCUUUUAGAAAAGUUUUUCUGCUCAACUGAGAGUUACAUAAUUCUAAGCUCUGUUUGGAGGCAAGCUGCCAAGAGUUUGGGUUGCUAAAAGAGUAAUCAUUUUCCAAUUUCACUUCAAACAAGACAUGGUUAAGAAACUUUAAAAUUAGGAAGAUUUUUAAAUGAACAUAAAUUGCUUUGGUAAUCAAACACAUAAGUUAUUAAAAAAAAAGUUCAGAGAAAUAAAGUAGGAUUGGGAAUCUGAGAGUAUUGAAAUUCUCCCCCCACCCCAGGGCAAACUGGCAGAGGAAGUUCUGAUGAUGAAAAAUUUUGGUUCAGGGUCUCACUCCUAAAACCAAGAUGGUUGUCCUUCCCCAUUUUCACAGCUAUCAGAGAGAGAGGCAACAGAAAUACGCAAAAGGCUAUCAGUUCAGGAAGUGCUCUCCGGUCUAUUCCCACGAGGUAGAUGCUGUGAUGGUCUUCCCAUCAGCCGUGCUGGGAAAGAACUGAGUGAGUAUUGACACAACAGAAACUCUUCUUUUCCCUAAAUAUUCCUUUUCUU